AGAGUUUGAUCCUGGCUUAGAACGAACGCUGGUGGCGUGUCUUAUACAUGCAAGUCGAGCGAGGCAGCAAUGCCGAGCGGCGAACGGGUGAGUAACGCGUAAGCAAUCUGCCCCAUAUCAGGAAAUACCCGUGCCAACGCGCGGUUAAUGUCCAGGAGAGUGGCCUUCCGCAUGGAAGGUUGACUAGAGAUUUAUCGGUAUGGGAUGAGCUUGCGUCCGAUUAGCUAGUUGGCGGGGCAACGGCCCACCAAGGCGACGAUCGGUAGCCGGCCUGAGAGGGUGAUCGGCCACAUUGGGACUGAGAUACGGCCCAGACUCCCACGGGAGGCAGCAGUAGGGAAUAUUGCACAAUGGGGGAAACCCUGAUGCAGCAACGCCACGUGUGGGAAGAAGCAUUUCGGUGUGUAAACCACUGUCAUGAGGGAAUAAGGCCCGCCUUCGGACGGGAUUGAAUGUACCUUGAGAGGAAGCACCGGCAAACUUCGUGCCAGCCGCGGC
rnacentral:rRNA from 1 species